rnacentral:rRNA from 1 species
GAUGAACGCUAGCGGCAGGCUUAACACAUGCAAGUCGAGGGGCAGCACAGAUAGCAAUAUUGGGUGGCGACCGGCAAACGGGUGCGGAACACGUACGCAAUCUACCUUUAUCUGGGGCAUAGCCCGAAGAAAUUCGGAUUAACUCCCCAUAGUAUAUUUGAGUGGCAUCACUUAGAUAUUAAAACUCCGGUGGAUAAAGAUGAGCGUGCGUCCCAUUAGCUAGUUGGUAGGGUAACGGCCUACCAAGGCGACGAUGGGUAGCUGGUGUGAGAGCACGACCAGCCACACGAGCACUGAGACACGGGCCCGACUCCUACGGGAGGCAGCAGUGAGGAAUAUUGGUCAAUGGACGCAAGUCUGAACCAGCCAUGCCGCGUGAAGGAUGAAGGCCUUCUGGGUUGUAAACUUCUUUUAUCUGGGAAGAAACCCCUGAUUUCUAUUUAGGGCCGACGGUACCAGAGGAAUAAGCACCGGCUAACUCCGUGCCAGCAG